GAUGGAGCCCAAGUCCCAAGUUCAGAGACUCCAGUUCCUUCCCGAUUUGCUGGCUUAGCGCUAAGCCAAGGAAUGAGACCAACAACGCCAAUGCUGUUGAGGGCUGCUUGAAGCUACAGGUCUUUCAGGGCCCAGAUGGCUUUCCUGGCCUACUGUGUGCUCCCACUUACACAGAAGUGCACUCCCGCUAAAACUAGGAGCUCCGCAGCCAUGGCCUUUCCCAGAGAGACACUUAACUGGUGCCAUUUUUAUGAGGGAUAAUAAGACCGAUAUCAUUGCUGGUAUGUUGGUUCCAAGGUCCUUUCAUCUCCCACGCCUCAUCUGAUGUAGAGGACAGUCAGGAGUCGUCUAGAUGCUUAUCAUCGUGGUGUUCCCGAGGAACCACCAGAGCCAGAAUCGAUGGCUUUCAUUGAGCAGUUCUUUCAUGAGUCAAGUCCCCACAAUUCAAGUCCCCACAGGCUGAGGAUCACGAGGCAAGACAUUACAUAUCCCAGGCUGGUCUCAAGCUUGUGGCAUGGCUGAAGAGGACCUUGACUUUCGGAUCUGCAAACCUCUACUUCUUAAGUGCUAGGAUUAUAGGAUCUCACUCUGUAGCCCAGCCUGCUUUUGAAUCUGGGAUGUUUUCUCUGCCCCAGUCUCCCAUGUGAAGAAGGCAGCCCCGAGACCUCCUUUCACAUUUAACAUUUUUACAACUGGAGGAGAGAGUGAUGGAGGAGUCUCCAGGACAUGAUGGCCAGAAGCCUCACAUCUAGAAUAGCAGCCUGCAAAGGAGGUAAACAUGUCCUCAUCGGAAUACAGGAUCCUGCUUCUCCAGGAUGGAUCUCUCCUUC
rnacentral:lncRNA from 1 species